rnacentral:rRNA from 1 species
UACGGGGGGGGCAAGCGUUGUUCGGAAUUACUGGGCGUAAAGGGCUCGUAGGUGGCCAACUAAGUCAGACGUGAAAUCCCUCAGCUUAACUGGGGAACUGCGUCUGAUACUGGAUGGCUUGAGUUUGGGAGAGGUAAGCGGAAUUCCUGGUGUAGCGGUGAAAUGCGUAGAUAUCAGGAGGAACACCUGUGGUGUAGACAGCUUACUGGACCAUUUCUGACGCUGAGGAGCGAAAGCUAGGGGAGCAAACGGG